GAUGAACGCUGGCGGCGUGCCUAAUACAUGCAAGUCGAGCGAACAGACGAGGAGCUUGCUCCUCUGACGUUAGCGGCGGACGGGUGAGUAACACGUGGAUAACCUACCUAUAAGACUGGGAUAACUUCGUGAAACCGGAGCUAAUACCGGAUAAUAUAUUGAACCGCAUGGUUCAAUAGUGAAAGACGGUUUUGCUGUCACUUAUCGAUGGAUCCGCGCCGCAUUAGCUAGUUGGUAAGGUAACGGCUUACCAAGGCGACGAUGCGUAGCCGACCUGAGAGGGUGAUCGGCCACACUGGAACUGAGACACGGUCCAGACUCCUACGGGAGGCAGCAGUAGGGAAUCUUCCGCAAUGGGCGAAAGCCUGACGGAGCAACGCCGCGUGAGUGAUGAAGGUCUUCGGAUCGUAAAACUCUGUUAUUAGGGAAGAACAAAUGUGUAAGUAACUAUGCACGUCUUGACGGUACCUAAUCAGAAAGCCACGGCUAACUACGUG
rnacentral:rRNA from 1 species